rnacentral:lncRNA from 1 species
UACGCGAUUUCCCGAUCGAGUCUUCUGCGGUUGCUGCGUCAGCCAUAAAUGAAGAGAGAAAGAGAGGAAGAGAGGAAGAGAGGCCGGAGCUAAGGUGAGGCGGCGGCACAGCAAGGAGGCGCGGCGAGGAGGCGCUAGUCUCUGGUGAUCGGAAAAACGAGAGGCGGAGAAGGGCGAGGGGGGGGCGACGCUGCUGGAAGAAGA